rnacentral:rRNA from 1 species
UACAGAGGGUGCUAGCGUUGUUCGGAAUCAUUGGGCGUAAAGGGCGCGCAGGCGGCUCAUUUUGUCAGGCGUGAAAGCCCCGGGCUUAACCUGGGAACUGCGUUUGAUACGGAUGGGCUAGAGUUCGGGAGAGGAGAGUGGAAUUCCCAGUGUAGAGGUGAAAUUCGUAGAUAUUGGGAAGAACACCGGUGGCGAAGGCGGCUCUCUGGACCGAGACUGACGCUGAGGCGCGAAAGCGUGGGGAGCAAACAGG